rnacentral:tRNA from 1 species
AUCAGGAUGGCCUAGUGGUAUAAGGUGCCAGACUCAAAGUGGCCAUGGGGAUUCUGGUCUCCAUAUGGAGAUGUGGGUUCAAAUGCCACUUCUGGAA